GCUAAUCCUGAGUGCAAAGGAAACCUGUUUGUUGUCACCUGGUUAUUUUAAUGAUGCAUGUUUUGGAAAACAGGGUUUGGAAAGCAGAGUUUGGAAAAUAAGAGUUUGAUAAAUAAGGUUUGGAAAACAGAGUUUGGAAAAUAAGAGAGGGACAUGUUGCUUUAUAUUUGAUUUCCAGCUGAUUUCCCACAGGGUCAUUCCCAAUAUAUGGCUCCUAAUGCACUUAAUGAAUUGAUAAAUGAGGUAUGGCCACAAAUCCCACAUGCUGGAAUCCAGGAGAACUUAACAUUUUAAUUUUUUUUAUUACCAAAGGAAGGGUUAAGAACCCUCAGCUUCUGGGAAUGUUGUCCCUGGUAAGUGUUACACUUUCUAUAAAUUCUUCCUUCUCUUUAGGAUAUUUCUUGACACAGAAGCACGAUGCAGACAACCACAGCUUGUGGAACUCGGGGUCUGCAGCAGGCCAGGAAUUUGGCUGCUCUUCAGCUCCUUUUUCAGUGUGUUCCUCAGCCUGGGGGAACUUUGAAGGGCUUGGCACCCAAAGGGAGACCUAAAAAUAGUGAUGACUGGAAAUUUUAAUAACUAUGGAGUCAUGGAAUGGUUUGGGUGGGAAGGAACCUUCAGGUUCAUCCAUUCCCUGUGUGCUGUCAGGUAGAGUUGGGAAUUCCUCUGGUUUGUGAACUCAGAAUUUUGUCCUCUUUGCAUUUUCCAGCUGAAGUUCAGAAGGAGGUUGAGCUCAGGAGACUUCAGCACUGAGCCGGGUGUUCUGGAAUGCUGGAUUGAUCUCCUUGUCCUGUUGGAAAUGUCUCCAGGAAUGCUGGAUUGUUCUCCUUGAGAGAUGGAGACCAGGAUUGUUCAGAGGACAUUUCCUGUGGGGUUACACUUGGAUCAGCUGCUUCUUUUAUCGGAAUUCACCUCGUGCCCUGCAGAAUCCAGUUUUCCUGGGAUGAUUUUGGAAUUUGUGCUGUUCCACCUGGAAAAACAGGAUUCCCUUCAGGAAACCCCUUCAGGAGUGAGAAAUCUGCAGAGCUCUCAGCCCCCAGGUGCUCAAGGCAGGAUUAUUGACUCCACACUGUGGGAAUUCACCUCCUGAACACCUGCACCAGGUACUGCAUUUAUUUCAUUGCAUUUCUGCGCUGUUUUCCCAUUGAAUGCCAUUUCCAAAGGUUUUAAUGCUGGAAUAUUUGUGCUGUGCUUGCUUUUGAAUUUUACUUCUGGCGGUCUGGGCUCCAUAUUUGCUCCCUGGCAUCUCAGAUUUGAAUUGCAGGAAGAGGUGAUGGAACCUUGGAAACGGGGAUAUUGUGCAGAGUGAAUUGAGAUUCUGGAAGGCCUUGGAAAACCCAAGAUCUUAAUUCCCUGUUGCUCCUGGAUAAUGUGGUGAGGGCCCUUGGAAACAGAGAUAUUGUAGAUAUUGUUGUGCAGGGUGAAUCAAGGUUCAUGGAGGCCUUGGAAAACCUGGGAAUUUUAUUCUAGUUGUUCCCAAAGCUCAUGGUAAGGUAGCCUUGAAAACGGAGAUAUUUUACAGAGUGAAUUGAGGGGUUCAUGGAGGCCUUGGAAAACCUCGGAUCUUUAUUCCAGUUGUUCCCAAAGCUCAUGGUGAAACAGGGAUUUUGUUGUGCAGAGGGACUCGAGGUUCAUGGAGGCCUUGGAAAAUCUGGGAAUUUUAUUCCAGUUGUUCUCAAAGCUCAUGAUAAAACAGGGAUUUUGUUGUGCAGAGGGACUCGAGGUUCAUGGAGGCCUUGGAAAAUCCGGGAAUUUUAUUCCAGUUGUUCUCAAAGCUCAUGGUAAGGUAGCCUUGAAAACGGAGAUAUUUUACAGAGUGAAUUGAGGGGUUCAUGGAGGCCUUGGAAAAUCCGGGAAUUUUAUUCCAGUUGUUCCCAAAGCUCAUGGUGAGGGCCCUUGAAAACAGGGAUUUUGUUGUGCAGAGGGGACUCGAGGUUCACGGAGGCCUUGGAAAACCUGGGAAUUUUAUUCCAGUUGUUCUCAAAGCUCAUGGUAAGGUAGCCUUGAAAACGGAAAUAUUUUACAGAGUGAAUUGAGGGGUUCAUGGAGGCCUUGGAAAACCUUGGAUCUUUAUUCCAGUUGUUCCCAAAGUUCACGGUGAAACAGGGAUUUUGUUGUGCAGAGGGACUCGAGGUUCACGGAGGCCUUGGAAAACCUGGGAUCUCUGUCCUGGAGCACGUGGUGAGGCCGGAUGAGCACCUGGGCGUCUCCGCCGCUCUGGUUGUGCUCUCCCCGUGUAACUCAAUCCUCUUCCCAGCUGUUCCCCAUCCCAGCUGGAGCCUGUCAGGAGGAGCAGCCCCACGUGUGACCUGAGCCAUCCCCGUGGCUCGAGUGUCUGAAAUCCUUUCAUGCUCCUGUCAGCCCGAGCCCCCCGCCCGUUGCAUCACCUCGCAGCUCAGGCGUGUGCCGGCACCGCAGCGCCCGAGGCCAACUGGGAAAGUUCUUGACCAAUUUCUGGGAUGGUUUUCAGAUGGGGUUUUAUUGGUUUAUGAAUUGUUACCUCUGUUUCCCCUGCAGAAGUAGACAGGGAAUGAAGGCCAAUUCUCCCUUUCCCAACACAGGGAAGCCGAUCCCGUGCAUCGGCCCCGCUCCCAUCACGUGCUCCGCGGAUAUUUUCCAAUCCCAAACCCAGUGCUGUGCUUUGCUGGUGUUUUUUUGCUCCUUUGUUUAUUCCCCAGCCGCUUGGGAUGAGCGCAGAAUCCCGCUGGCAGGAACAUUUGUGGGAAAUCGCAUCACGUUGCACGUUUGCGCGGGGCCAAAUCCACCAGAGAGGCCCCGGCGAGCGCUUGCGCGGCCACGGAGCAGAUUCAGUUCCCAUUACUCACCAGAGAGGCUCGCUGGAUGUUUAUAGCUGUUGGGUGGGCAAGAAAGUUGGGAAGAGUCGGGAUUUGUCAGAGCCUUUGAUGGUUGAGGCUGGGUGGGAAUGAGAGCAGCUGGGUUGAGUAAUGGGGUGGCACUGGUAGCCCUGAGUCGUGGUAACUCAUUUCUGUCUGUGGUGACUGGGAUUUGCCUGCUCAGCCUGCAGGAGUUGCUGGAAGGCUCCGAGUCAGUUUUAUGGAUUGUUAUGACUCGGCCUAAGAGCCGGAUUUGCCGGGUAAAAGCGCCGAGAGUUCUUUGUUAGGGAAACGUGAGGACUUUGUUUAGCAAUUCCCACUUAGUGCCUGUGCUCCUGGAGAGCUGCUCCUGAGUGAUGGUUGGUCCCAAAUUCCCUGCUCCCAGUGCCCUGCACUAAUGGAUAAUUUCAUGUUUUCCUGCUUCUCUGCUUGGAAAACACUGGGAAGAGCAGCUGUGGCUUCAAUGCUCGGAUUGGACUUCACAGCUGACUAAAGCAUCCCUUGAUGGCUCCGUUUUCCUGCAGGGGAGGAGAAAGCCCCAAUAAACUGUUCCAGUUGUGGUUCUGGAGACAAAUGUGGGCUCUGAUGGACACUUCUUAAAUGGAGGUCAAGCAAAAGUUGCCUCAUCCUUGAAGGAUUUGCCUGACAAAGGUAGCUGGAAUAAAGCCGGAUGUUUUUCCGGAGGGCUGGCCGUGCAUCUGAGUUGAACAAUUAGUGUUUUACGGGCUGAAGCCACGCCAAAGGGAUCCAAAACUGGCUGAGACAUCUGAAAUAAAAAUAUUCCUCAUCAGGGAAGUUGGUGCUUGGGCUCGGUGAGCUUGGCCCGCUCUUGUUCCAUCCCCUCAUCGGCGACCCCAGGUCCUGAUAAAAUUCCCGCUCAGCCUUGGCCGGGAAGUGCAGGGUGGUGGUGAUGGAGGAGCUGUGCUCUGGGAGCUUUGGAAAGCUCAGCCUCAGGAAUGAAACGGGCUGGGAUGCAGCUGGAGCUGGCGUUGAGGCAGGGGUGCUCCCGGUGGCACUGCCAAGGGAAUAAAUAAAUCCUUUGGGAAGGGCAGGAUGAGCUCCCAAAAAGUCAGUGGGGUGCUGGGAUGGGUGUGAAGAGAAGCCUCGUGUCCCUCGCCAGACCAAGGGAGAUUGGUCCUAUUUUUCUUUUCCAAAGGAUGUCAAAAAGUAGAAGUUAGUAUAAAAAAAAAAAAAAA
rnacentral:lncRNA from 1 species